rnacentral:rRNA from 1 species
CCCAGACUCCUACGGAGGCAGCAGUGAGGAAUAUUGGUCAAUGGGCGCGAGCCUGAACCAGCCAAGUAGCGUGAAGGAUGACUGCCCUACGGGUUGUAAACUUCUUUUAUAAAGGAAUAAAGUGAGGCACGUGUGCCUUUUUGUAUGUACUUUAUGAAUAAGGAUCGGCUAACUCCGUGCCAGCAGCCGCGGUAAUACGGAGGAUGCGAGCGUUAUCCGGAUUUAUUGGGUUUAAAGGGUGCGCAGGCGGAUUUUUAAGUCAGCGGUCAAAUCGUGGGGCUCAACCCCAUCCAGCCGUUGAAACUGGGGAUCUAGAGUGUGCGAGAGGUAUGCGGAAUGCGCGGUGUAGCGGUGAAAUGCAUAGAUAUCGCGCAGAACCCCGAUUGCGAAGGCAGCGUGCCGUGCCGCCACUGACGCUGAGGCACGAAAGCGCGGGGAUCGAACAGGAUUAGAUACCCCCGUAACC